rnacentral:rRNA from 1 species
UACGGGAGGCAGCAGUGGGGAAUAUUGCACAAUGGGCGAAAGCCUGAUGCAGCUAUGCCGCGUGUAUGAAGAAGGCCUUAGGGUUGUAAAGUACUUUCAUCGGGGAGGAAAAAACAAAACUAAUAAUUUUAUUUCUUGACGUUACCCGAAAAAGAAGCACCGGCUAACUCCGUGCCAGCAGCCGCGGUAAUACGGAGGGUGCUAGCGUUAAUCAGAAUUACUGGGCGUAAAGAGCACGUAGGUGGUUUUUUUAAGUCAGAUGUGAAAUCCCUGGGCUUAACCUGGAAACUGCAUUUUGAAACUGAAAUACUAGAGUAUCGUAGAGGGAGGUAGAAAUUCUAGGUGUAGCGGUGAAAUGCGUAGAUAUCUGGAGGAAUACCUGUGGCGAAAGCGGCCUCCUAAACGAAUACUGACACUGAGGUGCGAAAAGCGUGGGGAGCAAACAGGGAUUAGAUACC